rnacentral:rRNA from 1 species
GACGAACGCUGGCGGCGUGCUUAACACAUGCAAGUCGAACGGAAAGGCCCUGCUUUUGUGGGGUGCUCGAGUGGCGAACGGGUGAGUAACACGUGAGUAACCUGCCCUUGACUUUGGGAUAACUUCAGGAAACUGGGGCUAAUACCGGAUAGGAGCUCCUGCUGCAUGGUGGGGGUUGGAAAGUUUCGGCGGUUGGGGAUGGACUCGCGGCUUAUCAGCUUGUUGGUGGGGUAGUGGCUUACCAAGGCUUUGACGGGUAGCCGGCCUGAGAGGGUGACCGGCCACAUUGGGACUGAGAUACGGCCCAGACUCCUACGGGAGGCAGAAGUGGGGUAUAUUGCACAAUGGGCGGAAGCCUGAUGCAGCAACGCCGCGUGCGGGAUGACGGCCUUCGGGUUGUAAACCGCUUUCGCCUGUGACGAAGCGUGAGUGACGGUAAUGGGUAAAGAAGCACCGGCUAACUACGUG